rnacentral:hammerhead_ribozyme from 1 species
UCACUACUGAGGAGUCCCAUACUAAGACGAAACGGCCGUCCAGUGC